rnacentral:rRNA from 1 species
GACGAACGCUGGCGGCGUGCUUAACACAUGCAAGUCGAGCGGUAAGGCCCUUUCGGGGGUACACGAGCGGCGAACGGGUGAGUAACACGUGGGUGACCUGCCCUCAGCUCUGGGAUAAGCCUGGGAAACCGGGUCUAAUACCGGAUAUGACUCCAUGACGCAUGUUGUGGGGUGGAAAGCCUUGUGCGGCUGAGGAUGGGCCCGCGGCCUAUCAGCUUGUUGGUGGGGUGAUGGCCUACCAAGGCGACGACGGGUAGCCGGCCUGAGAGGGCGACCGGCCACACUGGGACUGAGACACGGCCCAGACUCCUACGGGAGGCAGCAGUGGGGAAUCUUGGGCAAUGGGCGCAAGCCUGACCCAGC